GACGAACGCUGGCGGCGUGCUUAACACAUGCAAGUCGAACGGAGCGAAUGAAAGCUUGCUUUUAUGAGCUUAGUGGCAAACGGGUGAGUAACACGUAGACAACCUGCCGAUCAGAUGGGGACAACAUUCCGAAAGGAAUGCUAAUACCGAAUGGCGUGUAGGGGAGGCAUCUUCCCUACAUGAAAGAUGGCCUCUAUAUAUAAGCUAUCACUGAUCGAUGGGUCUGCGUCUGAUUAGCUAGUAGGUAAGGUAACGGCUUACCUAGGCGACGAUCAGUAGCCGGUCUGAGAGGAUGAACGGCCACAUUGGGACUGAGACACGGCCCAGACUCCUACGGGGAGGCAGCAGUGGGGAAUCUUUCCCGCAAAUGGGGCGCAAAGCCCUGACGGGAGCAAACGCCGCGUGAAGUGAAGAAAGGUUCUUUCGGAUUCG
rnacentral:rRNA from 1 species